UGAGGAAUUUUGCGCAAUGGGCGAAAGCCUGACGCAGCAACGCCGCGUGGACGAUGAAGGUCUUCGGAUCGUAAAGUCCUGUCGAGUGGGAAGAAGAAUGUGAGGGCUAACAUCCUUCGCAUUAGACUGUACCACCAGAGGAAGCCCCGGCUAACUCCGUGCCAGCAGCCGCGGUAAUACGGAGGGGGCCAGCGUUGUUCGGAAUUAUUGGGCGUAAAGGGCGCGUAGGCGGCCGAUCAAGUCUGACGUGAAAUCCCUCGGCCUAACCGAGGAACUGCGUUUGAAACUGUUCGGCUCGAGUCCGGGAGAGGGUAGUGGAAUUCCCAGUGUAGCGGUGAAAUGCGUAGAUAUUGGGAGGAACACCGGUGGCGAAGGCGGCUACCUGGACCGGUACUGACGCUGAGGCGCGAAAGCCAGGGGAGCAAACAGGAUUAGAUACCCCGGUAGUCC
rnacentral:rRNA from 1 species